rnacentral:rRNA from 1 species
UACGUAGGUGGCAAGCGUUGUCCGGAUUUACUGGGCGUAAAGGAUGCGUAGGUGGAUAUUUAAGUGGGAUGUGAAAUACCCGGGCUCAACUCGGGUGCUGCAUUCCAAACUGGAUAUCUAGAGUGCAGGAGAGGUAAGUGGAAUUCCUAGUGUAGCGGUGAAAUGCGUAGAGAUUAGGAAGAACACCAGUGGCGAAGGCGACUUACCGGACUGUAACUGACACUGAGGCAUGAAAGCGUGGGGAGCAAACAGG